UGCGGUUAAACAAAAUUUAAAUUAAAUUUUUUUAAGGUUUAAUAAAUAAUAUUUAAAUAAUAAACUAAAUAUUAAAUUAUUAAGUGAAAUUUUAAUUUAGUUAAAAUUUAUUGUUUUUUUUUUAAUAUUAAUAAAUUUUAUUUAAAACUAGGAUUAGAUACCCUAUUAUUAAAAUUUAAAAUUAUAAUCUUAAAAUAGUAGAUAUAUUUAUAUUGAAACUUAAAUAAUUUGGCGGUAUUUUAGUUCAUUUAGAGGAAUCUGUUUAUUAAUUGAUAAUCCACGAAUAAAUUUACUUAAUUUAUAUAAUUUUGUAUAUCGUUGUUAUAAAAAUAUUUUCUAGUAAAAAUAAUAUUUUAAAUUUUGUAUAAAAAAUUAAAUCAGAUCAAGAUGCAGAUUAUAAUUAAGAGUAUAAUGGAUUACAAUAAAUUUUAUUUUUGGAUAUUAAUUUUUAAAAUUAAUUGAAAUUGGAUUUAAAUGUAAUUUUAUUUAUAUUUUUAAAAUGAUUAAAAAUUAAAAUAUGUACAUAUUGCCCGUCGCUUUCAUAUAUAAAUUGAAAUAAGUCGUAACAAAGUAGAGGUACUGGAAAGUGUUUCUAGAAAGA
rnacentral:rRNA from 1 species